rnacentral:rRNA from 1 species
UACGUAGGGGGCAAGCGUUGUCCGGAUUUAUUGGGCGUAAAGAGCGUGUAGGCGGUCAGGCAGGUCCGUUGUGAAAACUCGAGGCUCAACCUCGAGACGCCGAUGGAAACCAUCUGACUAGAGUCCGGAAGAGGAGAGUGGAAUUCCUGGUGUAGCGGUGAAAUGCGCAGAUAUCAGGAAGAACACCCGUGGCGAAGGCGGCUCUCUAGUACGGUACUGACGCUGAGACGCGAAAGCGUGGGGAGCGAACAGG